UGGGAAGUUCAGACCCUGCCUGUAAGGAGGGUGCGGUGGACGGAUUAAGAACAACGCUGUGAAGGAAAAGCCUGGCUCUCGGUUUGCGGCGUCUGGAGCACCCGGCUUUGCAGAGCUGUGGCGCAGAGGUGGAGAGGAGCUUUUGUCAAUGUGUGUGUUUGAGAACACUGUUGCAGCUAGAACCAGAAAGGACCUGGUGAACCAGCAAGGGGCAUCUUAUUCUGAGGAUGUGAACCUUCCUGGGGGAGUCCUGCUUCUGUCAGGCAUGACAUUCCAAAUACUUAUAGAUGACCUCCCAGAAACCAACAGCAAAGACCAGACCUCUGGUAGGAAGAGGCAUUAAGUCUUAAGAGGGUAAAGUAACUGGACCGAGGCCAGAUGAGAUUUACUUCAUGUCCAUCUGACUCCACAUCCCUUUGGGUGAGGAGACUAAGAUCCAGGGAGGCUAAGCAAAAUGCCCCAAAUUGCAGCCAAUUAAGGCAGAACAGGGACUCCCAUUUGCUUUCUGCUGCCUUUCCAAUGACCUACAUCUGCCUACAGCACCUUGACUGUGGGCCCGGGGAGAGGAGUCCAACCUCUUUCCAGAGUUGAAGAGCAGAACUGCAGAGGAAUUGAAAAUAAGGAAUUCAGAGAAGGAAGGAUAACAGGAUUUAAGAGGCUGACUGUGCAGAUUUGGUGGAGAAAUUCAGAGCAUUUUUUGGAGCUGGAAAUGUUCUCAGAAGUCAUCUAUCCUGUGGAUUCUAGCCCUCCCUUGUAAGGUGUGGCAAUCUCUGAGUCAGUUUGGACUGUGACCCAGGAAAUUGACCCGUAAGAGGUGAGCUUAGAUAAGGACCCAUGGAGCGAUUAUUGUCCAGUGCUUGAUAAGGUCUAAGGAUUGGGGGCGACAUCUGAAAAUGAU